rnacentral:tRNA from 2 species
GCCCGGGUGGCGAAAUUGGUAGACGCAAGGGACUUAAAAUCCCUCGAACAUUAUGUUUGUACCGGUUCAAGUCCGGUCUCGGGCACCA